rnacentral:sRNA from 1 species
ACAUUCUUAUUUUUAUCGAGCACAAACGGAAACAAUGCAAUGGCAGCCUCUGCUUAGAAAAAGCUGUGGAUAAGCCACCUUCCCCUUCACCAAUCGAGAUGAAAAAAGCAUCCAAUCCCGUGGAGGUUGGCAUCCAGGUCACGCCAGAGGAUGACGAUUGUUUAUCAACGUCAUCUAGAGGAAUUUGCCCCAAACAGGAACACAUAGCAGCAGGAUGUGGGAAUGACCAUUUCCAUGUGUUGUCUUGUGACUGGAAGGAAAAUGAACAGAAGUGUAAGGCAUGAUUAAUGAAGCAAGAGCAGGCGGAAGGGGAUUUGUCGUCUUCGGAGAUCCAAAGCCUUGCUAAAUCACCAAAUAUGGAGUAACACUUGC